CCUACGGGAGGCAGCAGUGGGGAAUAUUGGACAAUGGGCGAAAGCCUGAUCCAGCCAUGCCGCGUGUGUGAAGAAGGCCUUCGGGUUGUAAAGCACUUUCAGUGGGGAAGAAAGCCUUGGGGCUAAUACCCUCGAGGAAGGACAUCACCCACAGAAGAAGCACCGGCUAACUCCGUGCCAGUAGCCGCGGUAAUACGGAGGGUGCGAGCGUUAAUCGGAAUUACUGGGCGUAAAGCGCGCGUAGGCGGUCUGAUAAGCCGGUUGUGAAAGCCCCGGGCUCAACCUGGGAACGGCAUCCGGAACUGUCAGGCUAGAGUGCAGGAGAGGAAGGUAGAAUUCCCGGUGUAGCGGUGAAAUGCGUAGAGAUCGGGAGGAAUACCAGUGGCGAAGGCGGCCUUCUGGACUGACACUGACGCUGAGGUGCGAAAGCGUGGGUAGCAAACAGGAUUAGAUACCCGGGUAGUC
rnacentral:rRNA from 1 species